UCGCAUUUAUCAGUGGGGUGUGGCUCAUGCUGUAGCUCAGUAUCUCACAGAUCCAGAAAGUGUCAGUGUGGACUGUUUGUCUCUCAGUGUCUACAUCUACAGAGUGAGCAGUGAGGGUCAUUCUGUGUUUGUUUUCAGUGGUUCAUCAAUGAACAAAUAAAAACCAUUACCUGGAUUGGACUGAGUUACUCAGUGGAUAAUGGUAACUGGCUCUGGGUGUAUGGAACCCCUCUGCAGAAAGGAUCCUGGGGGAAAGGAAAGUCAGAUGGUAAAAAUGAAUCUGGUUGUGCCGUGAUUGCCCCUAAUGCGAAUGCAUGGGAUGCUUUUGACUGUUCUAAUAAGCAUAAUUUCAUCUGUGAGACUAAUGCUCUGCUCCCCUAAACCAUUUUUUAUCUUUGUAUGUUUUUGGUUCUCUCAUCUUGUGAGAGGCCGUUGACCAUGCCAGGGUUGACAGUCAAACACAGGACCAAUAAGCAGACCACAAUGUUACUGUUUCUGUUGGGAAUAUAUGGAAUAUACAUACUGCUGUCUUUACUAGAAAUGUAUCUGUGAGACUAAGCUUUGUUAAAUGCAUUGAAAUGACUGUACAUGCAGAGUAGAUUUAAGCUAUUACAUUAUUGGUUCUAUGGACAUAUUGUAAGUAUAAAAAAUCAAAAACCAUA